CCUCACCUGACCUCAGCCGGGGGGAAAGAGUCACACUCACAGAGCAUGGAUGGUUCUGAGGCCUGCAGUCAACAGUCCAGAAAGUGUGCCUGCUAGAUUUAACUGACAGCUUCCUCUGACCAGUGUGUGGCUAUGGGGCCAACUGGAUGAGCAGUUCAGCAUCAGGAUCCCAGAGUGCUUUACAAGCUGCACAGAAUGAUCACUCACCCGUCACUGAAUUGCAGCUUCCUUUGGGUUAGCACACAGCUGCCAUUCUGGAAUGUGAUUGCUUGGAAUUAACAAUGGAUUGUUCAUUCUGCAAUGUCAGAGCGAAAAGUCACCGAGUGGAACAAGAACCUUUAUUGAUAAGAUUGCAAUAUCGCUGCUACCUGUAACAAAGAUGUCAAUCUUCAUUUGCUCCCUGCACAGGUCAUGCAGGUGAAUGAACUUCUUGUGUGUUCACAAGUUCUGAACGGAGGUUGUAGUACUUUGUUAAUUCUAUUCCAGGCAAUGUGGCUCCUACAGACUGAGAAUUUAUCACUUAGGAAGAUGACACAUGGAGUGGGGCAAAAACAUGUUGGAAACUUGUUUAAAAAAACAAAUAAAAGAUCACCCACAACCCACACACUAGUGGAAAAAAGGCAGAUUUGGCAACACAAACAUUUUGCAAAUCCAUAUUGGUUUUGAUGAAUUGUUCAUUUCAAAAACAAUCAAAAAUCGAAAUGUUUAAUGUUGACAUUUUCAAAA